rnacentral:rRNA from 1 species
UACGAAGGGGGCUAGCGUUGUUCGGAUUUACUGGGCGUAAAGCGCACGUAGGCGGAUAUUUAAGUCAGGGGUGAAAUCCCGGGGCUCAACCCCAGAACUGCCUUUGAUACUGGGUAUCUUUGAGUCCGGAAGAGGUGAGUGGAAUUCCGAGUGUAGAGGUGAAAUUCGUAGAUAUUCGGAGGAACACCAGUGGCGAAGGCGGCUCACUGGUCCGGUACUGACGCUGAGGUGCGAAAGCGUGGGGAGCAAAAGGG